rnacentral:rRNA from 1 species
AGAGUUUGAUCCUGGCUCAGAGCGAACGGCGGCAGGCCUAACACAUGCAAGUCGAACGGAUCCUUCGGGAUUAGUGGCGGACGGGUGAGUAACACGUGGGAACGUGCCCUUUGGUUCGGGACAACUCAGGGAAACUUGAGCUAAUACCGGAUGUGCCCUUCGGGGGAAAGAUUUAUCGCCAUUGGAGCGGCCCGCGUCUGAUUAGCUAGUUGGUGAGGUAAAGGCUCACCAAGGCGACGAUCAGUAGCUGGUCUGAGAGGAUGAUCAGCCACAUUGGGACUGAGACACGGCCCAAACUCCUACGGGAGGCAGCAGUGGGGAAUCUUGCGCAAUGGGCGAAAGCCUGACGCAGCCAUGCCGCGUGAAUGAUGAAGGUCUUAGGAUUGUAAAAUUCUUUCAGCAGGGACGAUAAUGACGGUACCUGCAGAAGAAGCCCCGGCUAACUUCGUGCCAGCAGCCGCGGUAAUACGAAGGGGGCUAGCGUUGCUCGGAAUUACUGGGCGUAAAGGGCGCGUAGGCGGGUCGCUAAGUUGGGGGUGAAAGCCCAGGGCUCAACCCUGGAAUUGCCUUCAAUACUGGCGGCCUUGAGUAUGAGAGAGGUGUGUGGAACUCCGAGUGUAGAGGUGAAAUUCGUAGAUAUUCGGAAGAACACCAGUGGCGAAGGCGACACACUAGCUCAUUACUGNNNCUGAGGCGCGAAAGCGUGGGGAGCAAACAGGAUUAGAUACCCUAGUAGUCC